GCCACAUGAUGAAUUUUAGAUUACAAUAGCACUCUGUGCAAAGAUGACCUGUUAUCUAUCACCCAAUGACUGAUGGCA